rnacentral:lncRNA from 1 species
GGACAAUUAGAAAUAAACAAUACGCUUAAGAUACAAAUGUUAGUGCUGCCAUUUGAUAGGGGUUACUAGGAAGGGUUAUAUGUUUGGGGGUUUUUUAUGAGUAAAUAUAUGAUGUUUGUCGCCUGUUUUGAAUGCAUUUGAUUCAAGAAUGGAUUAUGGUUGUGGUUAUGUUAAGCGUGGUGUGUUUAUGCCCCCCCCCCAUUCACAAAUCGAAACCAAGACGAAUCGUUCCUCGCACUUUCAAUUGAGGCAAAUGCCGAGCUAGCUUUCCAGCCGCUUCCAGUUCUAACCGGUUUCAGUUUAAACUUUAAUUCUCCGUUUCAAACAGGGGAGAAAAAAACUGUUACGUGGCAGGCCAAAAACCUUUCUUUGUAAGUAAAAUAUAAAGAUUCAGAAAAGUCAUUUCGUAUUCCAUUUAUCACAUUUUGGUUUCAGUUUUGCGGUGUUCUAUUUUGUAGCCUUUUGGCAAUGUUUGGAUUGCAUAAUUAUAAGAAAAGUUCAUGGGUGUGUGAGUGCUACUACUAGCUACAUGCAUAUAGAUAUAUGCAGCAAUUUUGGCAUUGAAGCGCUUCUGUUUCUCUUUGAUAAAUUUAGAAUUUCAAGCGUACAAAGAGGAGAAGGCAGCUUGCGGCACUGCGAGAGAGAGCGCGAGCUAGUGUUCUAGUGCCAUUUGAUGUUAGCUAAAUUAAAUUAGCAUAGUCUAGUCUCAUGGACGAAAGACAGAUGAUGGACUUAUGUAACACAUUUGAAAGAGAGCGUGAGCACAAGGCACGAGCACGCUCAUGCUCUUGACAUUUCGGCUGCUCUCUUCGCGACAGCAAACAACUGUAAAAGCAGCGUUGCCUUGUGUUAUCUAAUCGGUUUUGACAUUCGCCGCGAGAGAGAACAAGGCACAGCAAAAGAGCUUUUCUGCCAAGUUCAAAGAGAGCCCAAGCACUCACGCGCACUCGUGAUGUAAUAGUUUCAGCUGGAAAAAUUUGGGAAAACUGGUCAAAGAGGAGUGCGCUGCUUGCUUUGCACGUGGGAACUUGAAGCUGGCUAGCAUUGUCAAGUGCUUUGGGCCAUGGUAAAUCCUGUCUUGUUGAUUGCAUAAGAACACCAGUAAAAAAAAAAAAAAAGGAAACUAGAACACAAUAGCUUUCAAGCGGU